rnacentral:rRNA from 1 species
AACGAACGUUAGCGGCGCGCCUAACACAUGCAAGUCGAGCGAGAAGGGAGCAAUCCCAGUAAAGCGGCGCACGGGUGAGUAACACGUAGGUAAUCUACCUCUGGGCGGUGGAUAACCUUCCGAAAGGAGGGCUAAUACAGCAUGAGACCACUCUUUCGUAAGAGAGAGAGGUCAAAGCGGGUCACUAUACAUAAACUCGCGCCUGGAGAUGAGCCUGCGGCCCAUCAUGGUAGUUGGUAGGGUAACGGCCUACCAAGCCGAAGACGGGUAGCUGGUCUGAGAGGAUGAUCAGCCACACUGGAACUGAGACACGGUCCAGACUCCUACGGGAGGCAGCAGUGGGGAAUCUUGCGCAAUGGGCGAAAGCCUGACGCAGCGACGCCGCGUGAGUGAUGAAGGCCUUCGGGUUGUAAAGCUCUGUGGAGAGGGACGAAUAAGGGUUGGCUAAUAUCCAGCUCGAUGACGGUACCUUUUUAGCAAGCACCGGCUAACUCUGUGCCAGCAGCCGCGGUAAGACAGAGGGUGCAAACGUUGUUCGGAAUUAUUGGGCGUAAAGCGUCCGCAGGUGGUUAUUCAAGUCUGCCGUUAAAGAGUCUGGCUUA